rnacentral:rRNA from 1 species
GACGAACGCUGGCGGCGUGCUUAACACAUGCAAGUCGAACGAAGUGGCGAACGGGUGAGUAAUACGUGGGUAACCUGCCCUCCUUUUUGGGCUAAGCCUUCGAAACGGGGUCUAAUACCGAAUAAAGGGGGAUGGGCUCGUGGCCUAUCAGCUUGUUGGUGGGGUGAUGGCCUACCAAGGCGGUGACGGGUAGCCGGCCUGAGAGGGUGAACGGCGACAUUGGCACUGAGAUACGGCCCAGAGUACGACGGAGGGGAGAAGCGGGGAAUAUGGACCAAUGGGUGAAAGACUGAUGCAGCGACGCCGAGUGGGGGAUGAGGGCUUUAGGGCUGUAAUGCUGUUGAGGUAGCGAACGGGUAGGUAGAGAGGAAGCGACGGCUAACUACGUGCCAGCCGCCGCGGUAAUAC